rnacentral:rRNA from 1 species
AUGAGACUUCCAAAGUCUAAGGGUGGUAUGGGUUUCCGUGAUAUGAGAGCCUUCAACCAAGCGCUGCUCGCCAAGUAGGCUUGGCGUCUACUUGAUACCCCGGAUAGUUUGUGUGCUUGUUUGCUAUCUGCGAAGUAUUACCCUCAUGGAAACCUGUUGGAUACAGUCUUUACAGGAAAUUCUUCGGCUGUGUGGAAGGGAAUUGAACAUGGUCUGGAGCUGGUUAAAAAAGGAAUCAUUUGGCGGGUUGGAGACGGUGCACUGAUACGUACAUGGCGGGAUCCAUGGAUACCCCGUGGCCAUAAUCUCCGACCAGUCACACCCAAAAGGAAUUGUCGUUUCAACCGGGUGUCUGAUUUUCUUGAUGAUAAUGGUGCUUGGAUGGUGCAAUGAUUGAACGAUCAUUUUUGGCCGAUGGACGUACGCGAAAUUCUGAAAAUCCGUACCUCACCGAGACAACGUCAAGAUUUCUUCGCCUGACACCCGGAGAAGAAUGGUCGGUUCUCAGUGAAGAGUGCAUACUAUUUGGCGACGGCCGAACAUGAUGAGAUGUUCGCCGGUGGAGCGUCCAGCGUUAACCCGGACAGGAAUAGUUCCAUUUGGAAUCUUAUAUGGCGGUCUUCUGUACCUCUGCGCAUGAAACAUACGGCAUGGCGGGUGGCGACUGGUGCCUUAGCUACAGCAGCUUGCAUGCAAUACCGGCACCUGGUGUCGCGUGGGACAUGCCCCCUAUGCGGUACUGAAGAUGAGGAUAGCUAUCAUGCUUUGGUUGCAUGCAACCAUGCACGUAUCUUAUGGGAGGCAAUGAGGCAGGUUUGGUCGCUCCCCCAUGACCAGCUUCUUAUAAAUAGCGGCAGGGAAUGGCUGCCGAACUUGCUACUAAAUUGCAACGAAGCUGAGCGAGACAGAGUUCUUAUGCUUUUCUGGCGUAUUUGGCAAUUACGGAAUGAUUUCACUCAUGGUAAGGAGGUUCCCCCUUCUUAG